AUUGAACGCUGGCGGCAUGCCUAACACAUGCAAGUCGAGCGGAUGAAGGGAGCUUGCUCCUGGAUUCAGCGGCGGACGGGUGAGUAAUGCCUAUGAGUCUGCCCUGUCUAGGGGGAUAACGUCCGGAAACGGGAGCUAAUACCACAUACGUCCAGAUGGAGAACGUGGGGGAUCUACAGUCCUAACGCUAUCAGAUGAGCCUAGGUCGGAUUAGCUAGUUGGUUGGGUAAAUGCCUACCAAGGCGACGAUCCGUAACUGGUCUGAGAGGAUGAUCAGUCACACUGGAACUGAGACACGGUCCAGACUCCUACGGGAGGCAGCAGUGGGGAAUCUUGGGCAAUGGGCGAAAGCCUGAUGCAGCCAUGCCGCGUGUGUGAUGAAGGUCUUCGGAUUGUAAAGCACUGUAAGUUGGGAGGAAGGACAGUAAGUUUAUCCCUGGCUGUUUUGACGUUACCAACAGAAUAAGCACCGGCUAACUUCGUG
rnacentral:rRNA from 1 species